rnacentral:rRNA from 1 species
AUUGAACGCUGGCGGCAGGCCUAACACAUGCAAGUCGAGCGGAUGAAGGGAGCUUGCUCCUGGAUUCAGCGGCGGACGGGUGAGUAAUGCCUAGGAAUCUGCCUGGUAGUGGGGGAUAACGUCCGUAAACGGGCGCUAAUACCGCAUACGUCCUGAGGGAGAAAGGGGGGGAUCUUCGGACCUCACGCUAUCAGAUGAGCCUAGGUCGGAUUAGCUAGUUGGUGGGGUAAAGGCCUACCAAGGCGACGAUCCGUAACUGGUCUGAGAGGAUGAUCAGUCACACUGGAACUGAGACACGGUCCAGACUCCUACGGGAGGCAGCAGUGGGGAAUAUUGGACAAUGGGCGAAAGCCUGAUCCAGCCAUGCCGCGUGAGUGAAGAAGGUCUUCGGAUUGUAAAGCACUUUAAGUUGGGAGGAAGGGCAGUAAGUUAAUACCUUGCUGUCUUGACGUUACCAACAGAAUAAGCACCGGCUAACUUCGUG